CCAGGCGCUGGCUGGCCGGCGUCUGGCCGCCGGCGUGGGCCUUGCCGUGGCUAACCGCCGUCUCCCUCUGCAGCUGAAGAAGAAGCCCAAGAUCAUGCAGCAGCAUCUUGAUUAUUGUUUCCCUGGUUUAUGGCUAUCCAAGAUAACUCCUCGAUCCUACAAAGCCAAUGAAUAAGACAUGUGUUCUUAUAGUCCGUAUACAUUGUGAAGGUUGUA